UACGGAGGGUGCAAGCGUUAUCCGGAUUCACUGGGUUUAAAGGGAGCGUAGGUGGGGUGGUAAGUCAGUGGUGAAAUCUCCGGGCUUAACUCGGAAACUGCCGUUGAUACUAUCAUUCUUGAAUAUUGUGGAGGUAAGCGGAAUAUGUCAUGUAGCGGUGAAAUGCUUAGAUAUGACAUAGAACACCAAUUGCGAAGGCAGCUGGCUACACGAGCAUUGACACUCAGGCACGAAAGCGUGGGGAUCAAACAGG
rnacentral:rRNA from 1 species